AUGCAGCAAGGGCUGCUCCUGGGACCACAACAGGAGAAAGCCCAACUGCUUCUAACCCCCGGGCAUGGGUAUGAAAAAGCAAGGCUGGAGCAGCCCUGCUUGCAGGUGAGUGCUGCCAGGGGCUGGUGGACAUCAGCAACAGCCCCAAACCCUGGCAGGCAGAGUCCAGGCCCGUGGGCAAGAAGAGCCAGGAGCACCGUGUGCCAGGGCUACUGUGAUGAGGCUGUGCUGCAGGAUGAGCAGCCAGUGAAAUUCACUGGCCUAAGCCUAUCCGUGCCGUCCUGCCCUCUCAGGCCAGCAUCCAGGAGCAGCACUGGCCCCCACGUGCCCUAUUCCUGUCCCCAGGCAACUGUGAUAGCCCCAGGCAGCAUCUCAUUCCACACUGCUCCAUCAGGCAGCCACCACCUGCACCUCCAGCCUUUGGCACCCUACUGGGGUGAGGGCUCAUGUAGGGAGGGGACAGCCCUGCCACGGGAGGAGUGGCAGGGAUGGAGCCCCAGAGCCACACAGAGUCACUGGCCAGGCAGGGCCGGGCAGAGCGCACCCCUGGGGAAGGGCCCCGGAGAGAAGCAGCCCAAGGGAAGGUGUUUGCAAGCACAGAUGCGGCUGACAGACAUGAGAGUUCGAGGUGAUGGGCAAGCUGGGGAGGUUGACUGGGCACCGUACUCCCGAGGACCCCUAACACCCAUCAUCCCUCCCUCCUCCUGUCACACAGACUGCCCAUCACACGGUGAGCAGCAGCGCCCACGGGCACUUCCAUCCCCCACCCAAUCCCAGGCAGCCACCCAGCCUGGAGCAGUGAUGAGAGCUCGGGUUCCCCGCCCCGGGGUCCCCCUUGCACCCAUCACCAUGGCCGGCCCCCCGCCUGCGCCCCGGGGCUGGAGCUCCCUCCACACAGACGCACCGCACCGCACACACAGCGUCACAAACAACCAUGCAUUAGAAACUGAAAUGCUGCUGGGAGGCUCCGGGGCUGCGUGGGUUGCUCCGGUGUGGCUGCAGCCCCAUGGCACGCGCGGCUCCAUCCAUCGCACACAAACAGUCCUGGGGGGUGAGUCUAGCCAAAAAUGCCGCCGAAGGUGGAGGCGAUGA
rnacentral:lncRNA from 1 species